GGGUGCGGAAGUGGGCGGAGGAGAGACGGUGAUCAGGAAAUGUUUGAAUGUGUGGCGCCAAGGGAGGCCGUGGGCUGCAGGCUGCUGUGACCUCCAGUGUUCGGGUCUGUAGCGGUAUAAAACGACUAGACUUAACGCAGAUUGACAGAGGAGAGGUGUCGGGACCCAAAAGAUCUCUGAGGUCGGCCAUCGCAACGGUGCGUUGCCACCGAAGAGGACGCACAAGGUGUGAGCCGGUACCUCGUUACCACAAGUCUGGACGUCGUGGAGCAGUUGAUCCGCUUGCGUAGAGGGUAGUGGUUCCGCCUGCAACGCUGAUGACUGCGGUUUGAAUCCCGGACGGCUCGAGGUUUGAUAGACUGUUUAAAGUUCAUUGCUUCUGGGAAACCCAUCACAUCCCUCACCUUGGAGAAGCCCUGCCUGUCUGUGAGGCUCUUCCCCCGGAGUCCAUGUAAAACUUCACGACCUCCGUGAAAUGUCAAGAGAUGUGAAGGAACAACAGUGAAGAUGAAAUUUCAAUAGACCUUCUGACCUCAGCCCACUCUUUGUGUGUGGGAUCAACACAUCCUGGCGCCACAGACGAGGCCUCUGGGUUUUGCUGAGCAGCAGCUUUCUGACUCUGUGCCGGGUGGCUUUGCCGUCAGCUUUCUGCUUCUCCCCAUGGGCUUCCUUUUAGACGAGUCAUGUUGCCAAACUAAAGCUCCAGAGUCUCUUCAAUAUGCUGCAUCAGACAUAUGUAAAUUCUAACUCCCAGGACCUCCGCUGAGGGAAAAUAAAGAAUUUCCUGCAGGGUCUUAACUGGUCCUUGCACACUA